rnacentral:rRNA from 1 species
AUUGAACGCUGGCGGCAGGCCUAACACAUGCAAGUCGAACGAGUGGCGGACGGGUGAGUAAUGUAUUAGACACUGCCUCAUGGAGGGAGAUAACUACUGGAAACGGUAGCUAAUACCGCAUACCAUCAGAUGUGCCCAGAUGGGAUUAGCUAGUAGUUGGGGUAACGGCUCACCUAGGCGACGAUCCCUAGCCGGUCUGAGAGGAUGACCAGCCAAUCUGGAACUGGGACACGGUCCAGACUCCUACGUGAGGCAGCGGUGGGGAAUAUUGCACAAUGGGCGCAAGCCGGAGGCAGCCAUGCCGCGUGGUUGAAGAAGGCCUUCGGGUUGUAAAGCACUUUCAGCGGGGAGGCGUUACCCGCAGAAGAAGCACCGGCUAGCUCCGUGCCAGCAGCCGCGGUAAUUC